UACGAGGGGGGCAAGCGUUGUUCGGAAUUAUUGGGCGUAAAGGGCGCGUAGGCGGUGCGGUAAGUCACCUGUGAAAACUCUGGGCUCAACUCAGAGCCUGCAGGCGAAACUGCCGUGCUUGAGUGUGGCAGAGGGGGGUGGAAUUCCACGUGUAGCAGUGAAAUGCGUAGAUAUGUGGAGGAACACCGAUGGCGAAGGCAGCCCCCUGGGUUAACACUGACGCUCAUGCACGAAAGCGUGGGGAGCAAACAGG
rnacentral:rRNA from 1 species